GGGGUUGUGGCUCAGUGGUAAAGUGCUCACCUCUCACGUGGGCAGCCCUGGGUUCAAUCCUCAGCACCCCA
rnacentral:tRNA from 1 species